UACGUAGGGGGCAAGCGUUGUCCGGAUUUAUUGGGCGUAAAGAGCUCGUAGGCGGUUCAGUAAGUCAGGUGUGAAAUCUCCAGGCUCAACCUGGAGACGCCACCUGAUACUGCUGUGGCUAGAGUCCGGUAGGGGAGCGUGGAAUUCCUGGUGUAGCGGUGAAAUGCGUAGAUAUCAGGAGGAACACCAGUAGCGAAGGCGGCUCCCUGGACACUAACUGACACUGAGACGCGAAAGCGUGGGGAGCGAACAGG
rnacentral:rRNA from 1 species